GAUGAACGCUAGCUACAGGCUUAACACAUGCAAGUCGAGGGGCAGCACAGUGUAGCAAUACAUGGGUGGCGACCGGCGCACGGGUGCGUAACGCGUAUCCAACCUUCCCGUUACUCUUGGAUAGCCUUCCGAAAGGGAGAUUAAUACAAGAUGGUAUUCAAAUUCCGCAUGUUAUUUGAAUUAAAGAUUUAUCGGUAACGGAUGGGGAUGCGUGACAUUAGAUAGUAGGCGGGGUAACGGCCCACCUAGUCUACGAUGUCUAGGGGUUCUGAGAGGAAAGACCCCCACACUGGAACUGAGACACGGUCCAAACUCCUACGGGAGGAAGCAGUGAGGAAUAUUGGUCAAUGGUCGGAAGGCUGAACCAGCCAAGUAGCGUGAAGGAUGAAGGUUCUAUGGAUUGUAAACUUCUUUUAUACGGGAAUAAAACCUCCCACGUGUGGGAGCUUGUAUGUACCGUAUGAAUAAGCAUCGGCUAACUCCGCGCCAGCAGCCGCGGUAACAC
rnacentral:rRNA from 1 species